rnacentral:rRNA from 1 species
GACGAACGCUGGCGGCGUGCUUAACACAUGCAAGUCGAACGGAAAGGCCCUGCUUUUGUGGGGUGCUCGAGUGGCGAAAGGGUGAGUAACACGUGAGUAACCUGCCCUUGACUUUGGGAUAACUUCAGGAAACUGGGGCUAAUACCGGAUAGGAGCUCCUGCUGCAUGGUGGGGGUUGGAAGGUUUCGGCGGUUGGGGAUGGACUCGCGGCUUAUCAGCUUGUUGGUGGGGUAGUGGCUUACCAAGGCUUUGACGGGUAGCCGGCCUGAGAGGGUGACCGGCCACAUCGGGACUGAGAUACGGCCCAGACUCCUACGGGAGGCAGGAGUGGGGAAUAAUGCACAAUGGGCGGAAGCCUGAUGCAGCAACGCCGCGUGCGGGAUGACGGCCUUCGGGUUUUAAACCGUUUUCGCCUGUGACGGAGCGUGAGGGACGGUUAUGUGUAGAGAAGCACCGGCUAACUACGUG